GCCAGACUCCUACGGGAGGCAGCAGUGGGGGAUAUUGCACAAUGGGGGGAACCCUGAUGCAGCGACGCCGCGUGGGUGAAGAAGCGCCUCGGCGCGUAAAGCUCUAUCAGCAGGGAAGAAAGAAAUGACGGUACCUGACUAAGAAGCCCCGGCUAACUACGUGCCAGCAGCCGCGGUAAUACGUAGGGGGCAAGCGUUAUCCGGAUUUACUGGGUGUAAAGGGAGCGUAGACGGCGAUGCAAGUCUGAAGUGAAAGGCGGGGGCCCAACCCCCGGACUGCUUUGGAAACUGUAUAGCUGGAGUGCAGGAGAGGUAAGUGGAAUUCCUAGUGUAGCGGUGAAAUGCGUAGAUAUCAGGAGGAACACCGGCGGCGAAGGCGGCCUGCUGGACCGUGACUGACGUUGAGGCUCGAGAGCGUGGGGAGCAAACAGGAUUAGAUACCCCAGUA
rnacentral:rRNA from 1 species